AUAUCAGCGACCACAGUCUCCCCUCUUAUCCCUUUAGCUCCUCAGUUCGAGUUUCCCGACGCGGCCCCCACCCUUAACCCCUAGCCUCCAGGGAUCCCAGACAUCCUCCCGGCUCCCUAGAGCCCUCCCCUGUUCUCAGCCCCGUUAGACCCUCCCCUCAGAGCAGAACGCGUUUGCGCUCUAUGUCCCUCCGCAGCCCCUCCACCGUCCUCUCUGCCCCCAAAGGUACCUCCCCACCUCCACUUUAGUCUCACCCCUAAGUACCCCGAAGAAAGCCAAUAUUUCCUUCUCUCCGCAGCGUCCCAGAUAUUAACCGUUCUAUCUCAAUGGUUUUCAGAUUUUAUCUUGCCUCUUGGGUACCCUUUGGGACCCUUAUGUCAUCCCCACCAUCAGGGCACCCAGACUUAACCCUAACUGCAAGUCCCAGACUCACUCUGGUCCUUAUUGAUGAGCCAGGUGUCCCUGGAGUCAAGUGGCUCACUGUCACCGAUUUCAUUCCGAGCCACCACUCUGAAGUAGUACUUCCUGCCUGGGAGCAGCCCCGUCACUGUGUACUUGUUGCUGAAGACACGCUCGGCUGCCGUGUACCAGGUGGCUGUGCUUGCAUCCCGCUUCAUGAUGAUGUAGUGAGCCUCACCGUCCUCCUGCACAUCUGGGCUGUGGUUCCAGCCAUCUGCCAAGUCCGAUGGAAGAUAAGAUGGGGCAAGUCUCAGGCAGCUGGUGUCUUGGAGUCGGAAAACUAUUUCUGAAGUCUGCUCUGCCAUUUACUAGCCUCGUGACCUGGGAUGAGGAAACUGAAGCUCAGAGGGAAAGCAGCUUGCCCAAGAUGGUGGGAGAGCUGAUAAUAAAGUGAUACUAAUCUACUGCAGAUGCUGAGUUCCAGGCACCACGCUCCACCACCUGGGCAGGUGGAUGAUUGACAUGGGUCUGCACACAGUGGGGCGACCGGCUCAAGGGAACUCACAAAGAAUUCCGCCUGCAGCAGGAAAGGGUCCAGGGCCUUUUCAUGAAGCUCUUCUGCUUGGAGGACACGGGAGGCGCUGAGCAGGUACUCGCGGGCGGACUCCUCACGUGGGGACAUGAGAUAGCCAAAGCCCUCCUCGUUGCAGCCCGGAGUGCACAUGUCCAGGGUCAGGGAGACAUUGGAACCCCUCCUGGAAGGACCAGGAAAGGGAGUGUGAGCCUCAGGGGCAGAGGGACGGGCAUGAGCUGGGGUCUCCAGGGCUGGGAAAAUGAGGGAGGGAGAGAUCAGCUGGGAACAGGGUGGGGUUGAGGAAGAGGAGUGGGAGUGUGACAAGACCCCCUGACAAAGAAGCGUGAAUCUCAGCCCUGAGGCAUUGGCCUGACUCCCUAUCUCCUGCCUCCUGCAGUGGAGAUGUUAACUUAGUGGGGAUUUGGGGCUCCAGUUCUAAAAGUUCCAUCCAAAGCUACCCCAACAUGGCCUUACCCUGGACUCUCCUCCAUCACCGUUGGAGGAAGUUCUACCCUGUGGUCCCCAGGAAGCUCAGAGAGGGGACACCUGCCUGAAGCACAGAAGCGGGGCUUGGGCCCGAGAGGAUGGCUCCAGACCCUCCCCACUGCAGUCCCGGGCCCAACAGCCCUGGGAUGAGGCUGCUGGUGAGUCAAGGACAUAUUGUCCAGGAGAGGCCAGGACCCCCGCUGUCAGGAAGGAGGGAGUCCCAGGAGCAGCACGGUGGCCGCAAGGAUGUCUACAAUGGGCAAACUCUACUAUACUCAGAGUCUCAGACACAGGACAGGAUGGGGCUUCAUUACAUAGAAAGAGAAACUGAGUCCCCAUGAAGGGCCAAGAGUUGUCCAGGCUCUCCCAGUAAGGGGGUGGCAGAGCUGAAAUAAAAAGCUAGGUUUCCUGACUCCACACCCAGUGUUCUUUCUGUGACAUCACAUGGGUAACUCAAAUUUGGUGUGAUCUGGCUCACCCACCUAGACUCUGAAACGAGGGUGUCUACACUUCUCAAAGUGUGCUCUGUGGAACACUAUGAGCUACCCUAUAAAAACAGGUUCUAAUUGGGUACCCAGGUACAUAAAGAUGGCAACAAUAGAAACUGGGGACUACUAGAGGAGGGAGGGAGAGAGGCGGGCAAGGGAUGAAAAACUAACUGCUGGGCACUACGCUCAGUACCUGGGUGAUGGGAUCAUUUGUACCCCAAACCUCGGCAUUAUGCAAUAUGCUCAGGUAACAACACUGCACAUGCACCCCCUCAAUCCAAAAUAAAAGUAAAACAAAAAAA